rfam:Papio anubis isolate 1X1155 chromosome 1, whole genome shotgun sequence.
UCAAAGGCUCUUUUGAGAGCCACCAUUUUUCCUGGCAGACAGCA